rnacentral:rRNA from 1 species
UAGCUGCAGAAUAAGCACCGGCUAACUCUGUGCCAGCAGCCGCGGUAAUACAGAGGGUGCAAGCGUUAAUCGGAAUUACUGGGCGUAAAGCGAGCGUAGGUGGCUUGAUAAGUCAGAUGUGAAAUCCCCGGGCUUAACCUGGGAACUGCAUCUGAAACUGUUAGGCUAGAGUAGGUGAGAGGGAAGUAGAAUUUCAGGUGUAGCGGUGAAAUGCGUAGAGAUCUGAAGGAAUACCGAUGGCGAAGGCAGCUUCCUGGCAUCAUACUGACACUGAGGCUCGAAAGCGUGGGUAGCAAACAGGAUUAGAUACCCUGGUAGUCCACGCCGUAAACGAUGUCUACUAGUCGUUGGGUCCCUUGAGGACUUAGUGACGCAGCUAACGCAAUAAGUAGACCGCCUGGGGAGUACGGCCGCAAGGUUAAAACUCAAAUGAAUUGACGGGGGCCCGCACAAGCGGUGGAGCAUGUGGUUUAAUUCGAUGCAACGCGAAGAACCUUACCUGGUCUUGACAUAUCUAGAAUCCUGCAGAGAUGCGGGAGUGCCUUCGGGAAUUAGAAUACAGGUGCUGCAUGGCUGUCGUCAGCUCGUGUCGUGAGAUGUUGGGUUAAGUCCCGCAACGAGCGCAACCCUUGUCCUUAGUUACCAGCGGGUUAAGCCGGGAACUCUAAGGAUACUGCCAGUGACAAACUGGAGGAAGGCGGGGACGACGUCAAGUCAUCAUGGCCCUUACGACCAGGGCUACACACGUGCUACAAUGGUAGGUACAGAGGGCAGCUACACAGCGAUGUGAUGCGAAUCUCAAAAAGCCUAUCGUAGUCCAGAUUGGAGUCUGCAACUCGACUCCAUGAAGUAGGAAUCGCUAGUAAUCGCGGAUCAGAAUGCCGCGGUGAAUACGUUCCCGGGCCUUGUACACACCGCCCGUCACACCAUGGGAGUUGAUUGCACCAGAAGUGGAUAGCUUAACCUUCGGGGAGG